UUGAACGCUGGCGGCAGGCCUAACACAUGCAAGUCGAACGGUAACAGGAAGAAGCUUGCUUCUUUGCUGACGAGUGGCGGACGGGUGAGUAAUGUCUGGGAAACUGCCUGAUGGAGGGGGAUAACUACUGGAAACGGUAGCUAAUACCGCAUAACGUCGCAAGACCAAAGAGGGGGACCUUCGGGCCUCUUGCCAUCGGAUGUGCCCAGAUGGGAUUAGCUUGUUGGUGGGGUAACGGCUCACCAAGGCGACGAUCCCUAGCUGGUCUGAGAGGAUGACCAGCCACACUGGAACUGAGACACGGUCCAGACUCCUACGGGAGGCAGCAGUGGGGAAUAUUGCACAAUGGGCGCAAGCCUGAUGCAGCCAUGCCGCGUGUAUGAAGAAGGCCUUCGGGUUGUAAAGUACUUUCAGCGGGGAGGAAGGGAGUAAAGUUAAUACCUUUGCUCAUUGACGUUACCCGCAGAAGAAGCACCGGCUAACUCCGUG
rnacentral:rRNA from 1 species